UCGGCUCCUCCAAGGUGAGAGCCUCGCCACUCACCCCGUUCCCUACUCUUGACGUCCACCGUCGUCAACGCACUCGUUUGUUGUCGUUGUGCUCUCAUCGUGUCGACGAUUGCAGGUAGCAGAUUCAUGAAAUAUGUUGUUCCUGGGAUAUGCUGCACUUGUGGCGUUUGUGUUAAUUUCAAAAGGCACCGCAAACGAAACCCGGGACAUAUAUGUGACUGAAGGAGAUCAGGUUGUGCUGCCCUGUGGUGUUGAUGAUGGCUCCUUGAAGAGGUGACGCGGAGGAGAGUCGUGGUGUACGAUACACGGACGGUGACACGGAGCAAAACGACUUCAGAGCGACUGCAUGGACACCGGAUAAUGCGAUUUUGGAUAUUUGGUGGUGAGCGUGUGGGUGAGACCGCGUGAUCCUCGUUUGCAUGGCCAACACCUUUCUCGCUGCUGAUACCCACGAUACUCGUGGAAGAUGCUGGGAUAUACUUCUGCCUGGUAAAUAGUAACCAACUCCAACUCAUGCAAAAACUAGAAUUUCAACUCAUCAUAAGGGAAAAAGGGACCGAAACAGUUGGAAAUGUCACCACGAAUCCAUCAAGAUGCAUCUCAGAGGUGGCCAGCUCAGGUCCUUCUGGCUGUGAGAACUCAAACACAACUCAAGGCACUGAUCUUGACAACACAUUGAGGCAAUACAAGAUGCUAUUUUUAAUCUCUCUUGCAAUGAUGGCUGUUUUGAUAACAGUGUUGGUCGUGGUAAUCUUCCAACUGGUCAAGAAAAAAAAUGAAUGCCUGUCAUUGAUAUCGAAACUGCAAGGACUCGGCAAGCUCUCUGCGCAGGAACACGCUUCGGAUGCAGGAGAGGAGCCCCAUUACUGCCCACUCCGGGGGAAAGGGCACAACUCCGAGAUCUACACUCAUCUGCCUGGGCAAUCAUAAUGCGCUUACACACACACACAUACUGCUAUCUAUAUCAUCAUCAUUUUUAUGACGUUUGUUUAUGCAAUAAAGCCUCACUGCGUACCAGGACUCUUGUUCGGUAUGAUCCUGCCAAGCUUACGGAGUAGGGAGCAAGUUUUGUUUAUGUGGGUCAUUUGUAGGCCAUUCUUCAGCAUUGGGAUGUUUGCCCAAUACAAGUUACAUUGCGUGCCUUUAGCUAUUGGCAGGAAACCCACGCAGAACAGGGGGAGAACAUACCAACUCCACACAGAAAGGUGCCCGAGAUGGGAAUCGAACCAAGACCCUUCUUGCUGUUAGACACAAGUGUUACCACUGUGCGUAACACCAUGCCACCCAAAAAUGAAUAAAAGUUUAAUUCUUGUACAUUGUUACUUAAGUGUAGCGGGUAUAACAUGAUUUAAAAUCUGGUCUUAAAAUGUGUAGUGUUUGCAAUGAGUUACUGUUAGACAACUUUAAUGAGUGCAACUUAUAAAUGCAGUACCGUAUAUGCCUACUGUGUCCUUGACGUGUGCUUUUAAAAACACCGUCAACAUCCAUUUUGGAGGCUUUUAUGUCGAAAACGUCUCUGGCACGCAUUGCGAGCUUGCACAUUUGAGGAUAACCGUCAGAUAUCCGACUCCCUGGGGACUCAGGUUCAGACGGUUGUGUGUGAAGGUCGGAUUUGCAAACAUCUACAGAAUGUGACAGUUUUUCAUCGUUCACAGAUACUCGCGCUUCAUUGCUAUAAGCUCACAAACAAAUGCAUCUGCCGUGAUCACUCUGAUCAUAUCACGUUUUUUGAUCUGGGGCAUCUGUUGUAAAUGUAUGCAUGUUGAACUUCUUUCGCAUCGUACGUAGCCGACCGUAUAAUUAUAUGUUUCAAACAUUGCAUACUCUGA